rnacentral:rRNA from 1 species
CCGUUGCCGGCGACCGGCGCACGGGUGAGUAACACGUAUGCAACCUGCCCGUGGCAGGGGGAUAAGCGGGGGAAACCCCGUCUAAUACCGCGUAACGCGGCCUAGGGACAUCCCAAGGCCGCCAAAGGGAGCAAUCCCGGCCACGGAUGGGCAUGCGGCGCAUUAGCUAGUCGGCGGGGUAACGGCCCACCAAGGCGACGAUGCGUAGGGGUUCUGAGAGGAAGGUCCCCCACACUGGUACUGAGACACGGACCAGACUCCUACGGGAGGCAGCAG